AGAGUUUGAUCCUGGCUCAGAACGAACGCUGGCGGCAGGCCUCAAACAUGCAAGUCUAGGGGGUGUAGCAAUACAUCACCGGCGGACGGGUGCGUAACGCGUGGGAAUAUACCUUUUGGUUCGGAACAACUGAGGGAAACUUCAGCUAAUACCGAAUGUGCCCUUACGGGGAAAGAUUUAUCGCCAAAGGAUUAGCCCGCGUAGGAUUAGCUAGUUGGUGAGGUAAUGGCUCACCAAGGCUCCGAUCCUUAGCUGUUCUGAGAGGAAGAUCAGCCACACUGGGACUGAGACACGGCCCAGACUCCUACGGGAGGCAGCAGUUGGGAAUCUUGGACAAUGGGGGAAACCCUGAUCCAGCCAUGCCGCGUGAGUGAUGAAGGCCUUCGGGUUGUAAAACUCUUUCGACGGGGACGAUAAUGACGGUACCCGUAGAAGAAGCUCCGGCUAACUUCGUACCAGCAGCCGCGGUAAUACGAAGGGGGCUAGCGUUGUUCGGAAUUACUGGGCGUAAAGCGCGCGCAGGCGGUCUUUCAAGUCAGUGGUGAAAGCCCGGAGCUCAACUCCGGAAAUGCCAUUGAAACUGUGAGACUUGAGGAUGAGAGAGGUGAGUGGAAUUCCCAGUGUAGAGGUGAAAUUCGUAGAUAUUGGGAAGAACACCGGUGGCGAAGGCGGCUCACUGGCUCAUUUCUGACGCUCAGGCGCGACAGCGUGGGGAUCAAACAGGAUUAGAUACCCUAGUAGUCC
rnacentral:rRNA from 1 species